AGUGAACGCUGGCGGCGUGCUUAACACAUGCAAGUCGAACGGGCAAGUGCCGUAGCAAUACGGAUUACUGCUAGUGGCAGACGGGUGAGUAAUACAUAGGAAUCUGCCUCGGAGUGGGGAAUAACAGUUGGAAACGACUGAUAAUACCCCAUAUUGCCUGAGGGUGAAAGAAUUUCGCUCCGAGAUGAGCCUAUGCAGGAUUAGCUUGUUGGUAGGGUAAUGGCCUACCAAGGCGACGAUCUUUAGCUGGUCUAAGAGGAUGAUCAGCCACACUGGAACUGAGACACGGUCCAGACUCCUACGGGAGGCAGCAGUGGGGAAUUUUGGACAAUGGGCGAAAGCCUGAUCCAGCCAUUCCGCGUGAGUGAAGAA
rnacentral:rRNA from 1 species